UACAGAGGGUGCGAGCGUUGUCCGGAAUCACUGGGCGUAAAGGGCGCGUAGGUGGUGGCUUAAGCGUGCGGUGAAAGCUCGGGGCUCAACUCCGAGUCGGCCGUGCGAACUGGGCUCACUGGAGCAUAGUAGAGGCAGGUGGAAUUCCGGGUGUAGCGGUGGAAUGCGUAGAGAUCCGGAAGAACACCGGUGGCGAAGGUGGCCUGCUGGGCUAUGGCUGACACUGAGGCGCGACAGCGUGGGGAGCAAACAGG
rnacentral:rRNA from 1 species